rnacentral:rRNA from 1 species
AUGAACGCUGGCGGCGUGCCUAAUACAUGCAAGUCGAGCGAACAGACGAGGAGCUUGCUCCUCUGACGUUAGCGGCGGACGGGUGAGUAACACGUGGAUAACCUACCUAUAAGACUGGGAUAACUUCGGGAAACCGGAGCUAAUACCGGAUAAUAUAUUGAACCGCAUGGUUCAAUAGUGAAAGACGGUUUUGCUGUCACUUAUAGAUGGAUCCGCGCCGCAUUAGCUAGUUGGUAAGGUAACGGCUUACCAAGGCAACGAUGCGUAGCCGACCUGAGAGGGUGAUCGGUCACACUGGAACUGAGACACGGUCCAGACUCCUACGGGAGGCAGCAGUAGGGAAUCUUCCGCAAUGGGCGAAAGCUUGACGGAGCAACGCCGCGUGAGUGAUGAAGGUCUUCGGAUCGUAAAACUCUGUUAUUAGGGAAGAACAAAUGUGUAAGUAACUAUGCACGUCUUGACGGUACCUAAUCAGAAAGCCACGGCUAACUACGUG